UCCUAACCGCCUCUCCCCUGUGGCCUUCUGGUAAGGCAGCCGCCGCCCACCGACCUGCUCUACAGCCGCAGCAACCGCCUCGUCCCUGUGGCCCUCGGUUCCCUCCCUCUCCCUCAUCUCCAUCCCGUCCACCGCUGCUGCUCCUUGGGGUGAUCCUCGUGGCCUCCUGACAUCUUCCCGCAGGCUCCCCUCGGCCGCCCCUUCCGAUCUCAUCAAUUUAUGGCCUCCGCAUGAGGUGAGUCCAAGACUCCAGGUUGAUUCGGAAUUCUCUGCAUAAAAAAAAAAGAUUCGGACGUCCUGCAUACUGGCUGCUAAUCGGGGAUCGUCCAAUUUCGCUCCGAGGCUCCACGGUGGGAGGUGACUAUCCAGGCCCGCGCGUCAUGCCUGCUGCCUUCGGUCCCACAAUCAGAGGAAGGGGAGGGGUUCACCGAGAAGCAUUUCAUUUUAUUUCUGCUGCUGCUCUCUCUCUCUCGGGUUAUAGCUCUCUCUCUCCUCUCCUCUUUUGUUGCAAGUUCUCUCCCAUGUGACCAUGCCUCCCAGAUCCGUCGAUUUGUGUAGGGAGAAGUGCAAAUCGAAGGCAGAGAGGUGAAGCAGGAUUUGGUGGGAUAUUUCCAACCGCAUGAGAGGAACCUUGCCGAUUCGCAACGCUAGGUAGAUUUCCCCCCACGGUGAUGGUUUAAAAUUCCCCAGCUGUGCGCUCGAAGAUAUGGAGAUGGUGUCGUGAGGAGGUUGGUUCUGGAUUUGAGGGGGGUAUCACCAGUUACUGUUCAAAGGGACUAUCAUGUGGCUGCUUCUGGAGGAUUUACUUGUAUUAGAACUUCACUUUAGCUAAGGACUUGGUGAUGCCCACCCGGCGUACUGAAUGACGCAUGCUGUGCUAUUUUGAUUCAAAUUUUGCACGAGGGAAAUUUUUUUUCCCCUUUUGCUAGGGGCAUUGAUUGUUACGGUUUGAGAUAUUUGUGCAAAUGCAUAUCAUGUACCAUGACAAAUUGCAGAUCGGAUUGAUUUUUGUACAAUGGAUAUAAUGCACUGCUUGCUAGAUCAGAGAUAAGUUUUUGUAUAGAUGCACGGUGAUUCCAAACUGAAUGAAUACAUGUGUUUUUAUUAGUCAAA